GAAGCCCCAGUGAACGGCGGCCGUAACUAUAACGGUCCUAAGGUAGCGAAAUUCCUUGUCAGGUAAGUUCUGACCCGCAUGAAAGGCGUAAUGAUUUGGGCACUGUCUCAACAGCCCGCCCGGCGAAAUUGUAGUACCGGUGAAGAUGCCGGUUACCCGCGACAAGACGGAAAGACCCCAUGGAGCUUUACUGUAGCCUAAUAUUGGGUUUCGAUGUUGCAUGCACAGGAUAGAUGGGACACAGGGAAACAAGUGCUUUGGCAUUUGUGGAGUGGCCGUUGGGAUACCAUCCUUGCGAUAUUGGAAUUCUAACCUGCGCCUUUGAAUCAAGGCGGGGGACAUUGUUAGGUGGGCAGUUUGACUGGGGCGGUCGCCUCCUAAAGAGUAACGGAGGCGUUCAAAGGUUCGCUCAGCUUGAACGGAAAUCAAGCAAAAGAGUGCAAACGCAGAAGCGAGCCUAACUGCGAGACUGACGGGUCGAGCAGUAACGAAAGUUGGAGUUAGUGAUCCGGUGGUAUGUGAGUGGAAAUGCCAUCGCUCAACGGAUAAAAGUUACCCUGGGGAUAACAGGCUGAUCUCCCCCAAGAGUCCACAUCGACGGGGAGGUUUGGCACCUCGAUGUCGGCUCAUCGCAUCCUGGGGCUGUAUUCGGUCCCAAGGGUUUGGCUGUUCGCCAAUUAAAGCGGUACGCGAGCUGGGUUCAGAACGUCGUGAGACAGUUCGGUCCCUAUCUGUCGUGGGCGCAGGAUAUUUGAUGGGAGCUGUUCCUAGUACGAGAGGACCGGAGCGGACGUACCUCUGGCGCACCAGUUGUUCUGCCAAGGGCAUAGCUGGGCAACUAUGUACGGAUCGGAUAAACGCUGAAAGCAUCUAAGCGUGAAGCCGACCCAAAGAUAAGAUAUCCCAUUGUUUCAAACAAGUAAGACCCCUUGAAGACUACAAGGUUGAUAGGCACGAUGUGUAAGUGGAGUGAUCCAUUCAGCAAGCGUGUACUAAUAGGUCGAGGGCUUGACCAC
rnacentral:rRNA from 1 species